AUUGAACGCUGGCGGCAGGCCUAACACAUGCAAGUCGAACGAGUGGCGGACGGGUGAGUAAUGUCUGGGAAACUGCCUGAUGGAGGGGGAUAACCACUGGAAACGGUAGCUAAUACCGCAUACCAUCGGAUGUGCCCAGCUGGGAUUAGCUAGUAGGUGGGGUAACGGCUCACCUAGGCGACGAGCCCUAGCUGGUCUGAGAGGAUGACCAGCCACUCUGGAACUAUGACACGCUCCAGACUCCUACGGGAGGCAGCAGUGGGGAAUAUAGCACAAUGAGCGCAAGCCUGAUGCAGCCAUGCCGCGUGUAUGAGAAGGGCCUUCGGGUUGUAAAGUACUUUAAGCGGGGAGGCGUUACCCGCAGAAGAAGCACCGGCUAACUCCGUGCCAGCAGCCGCGGUAAUAC
rnacentral:rRNA from 1 species